CUUCUUAUUGGGUUUAGAUUUUCUGAAGCAAACUGAGUAAGAUUUAUCUUUUCUGAGUCUAGUGGUUUUAAGUUUUUGAAACCAAAGCUUCAAAGACAGAAGAACAGGAUCGUCAAGCAGUUGGGGCCACCCAAGCAAAGGCCUGAAGCUUCUAGCCAGGCCAUUUGUUCUGGUCAUGUUUUGGGGCCUAAGACAAUUGUUUGGGAAGAAAACUUGGGAUUCCACAGCAAGCGUAAUACAAUAUAGAUAUUAUUGUUAAGGAGAGUUUAUUUUUAUAGUGAUGAAGUUUUCCAAUAAUUAAAAGGGUGAUCAAGUGGUAUUAUGGGAGAUUAUUUCUCAGUGGACUAUGUAGAUGAGCAAUCCUUCUCUUCAUAGGAUAUUUUAGAAUUUAGUUUACUCUAAAAUAUGAACCCUUAAGUUAAUAAACAGGGUGGCAUUUGGUGCCAAGGAUUAAAUAUUUACUGGUAAAAUAUACAGUGAUGAAAAGGAUUUUCCAACAGGCGAUAAAUCAAAUAGUCUGAGCUCUGUAUUAAAUAUUAUUUUUAUCAGGGAAAAAAUAAAACUUGGCCCAUGGAACAAAGUUAACCCAUUGUUGUGGAUUCCUGGAGCCUAACUUGUGAGGAUCAGCAGACAUUCCUUUUAAAAACCAGGAAGUCCAGUGGACUUGCCAAAGUGCACACACUUAGUGAGGAGCAGAACAGCUGUAAAUACUUAUAUAUGCACCGGUUGUUGGAACCCAGGCUGUGUCUCAAUGAAGAUAAUGAAUCAAUUAUUGAAAGUAAACCAGCAAAUGGGAUUUUACACAGAUCAAGACCAAAGGAAACCUCGUGCCUGUUUGUCUAGAUUAGGGGAAGGUAAUUGCUGCAACCCACAGUGACUAAGGAAUUUGGUUUUACCCUUAGAAGUAGCGUUUAUCACAAGCUGAAUAACUUGAGUUCAAUCUACUGUCAGAGUCCACCAAUUGCCAGGGUUGGGUGCUGAGAACCAGACAAGGCAGGAGAAAGAGGAAAGGCCUCUCUGGAAUGCUCAGUUAUUGCAAUAAAGACUCUUCUAAGAAACAAUAGAACCAAUAGUGCCCUUUACUGGAACAAGAACUGAAGACACAAAGAGGAGAUAAGGUUGUCCUAACACACGAGAAGCUUCAAGACUAAGAAGGUGGCAUGAGCAGAGAAAUAGGAUGCACCUCCUUGAAAAGACAUAGGACACAAAGAAAACAUGACUUUAAAUAAAUUUCAGGAGUUCCCUUCGUGGCACAGUGGAAAUGAAUCUGACUAGGAAUCACAAGGUUGCGGGUUUGAUCCCUGGCUUUGCUCAGUGGGUUAAGAAUCUGGCAUUGCCUUGAGCUGUGGUGUAGGUUGCAGACAUGGCUCAGCUCUGAUGUCACUGUGGCUGUGGUGUAGGCCAGCAGCUGUAGCUUGGAUUUGACCCCAAGCCUGGAAACCUCCAUAUGUCACGGCUGCAGCCCUUAAAAACAAAACAAACAAGCAAACAAAAAACUCAAAUUAUACACAUAAAUUCUUUCUCCUCUGUCUACCCA
rnacentral:lncRNA from 1 species